AAGUAAUAGCUUCCCAGCAGCCAUGUGGAGAAUGCAGAUGAGUUGAAAAGACAAACAUAAAAGAGAGAAGUGAGCUGGAGGACUCUCAUAAGGAGUAAAGAAAGGAGAUUCCGGGAUCCUGGUGACUGGUCUGUAUGCCUUUCCCCUCCUCUCUCAAUUCUAUUCUAUUUGCCUCUCCUGAGCCAAGAAGCCUUGGGUUCUGUUUGGGACCUAGCAGAGAGAAGAGGUGUGGGGAUUUUAGCGCUGGAAUGGCAAUGUGGAAGCCUGCCUCGCCCCACACCAGAAAUCAAUACUCAACGAUCUACUAAUAAAAUGCGAGGCUAGAGCAGCUGUGGUUUAUAGUAAAGCUAUCAGAAAAUGAACCAGAUCAUUUGAGAUGAACAAACAAAAAUAAACCAGUAAAGGAUAUGAAAUGUUCUGGAAAGUAAGAGGAAAACUAGAAAGGACUGUUGUUUUUGAGGCAAAAGCUUUAUCGAUCCAGAAGCAAUUGUCACCUGCUAUUUCAAAGUCAAGGUGGGGGGAAACAAGAAAGCACCACUGGAUUCAGGAAAUAGGACACUGUCAGGCUACUAAAGGAGAUGUUUCAACAGAGAGGCAGGGACUACGUUGAUACUGAAGCAAUUGAAAGAUGAAGAAAUAGAACCAACGAACAUAUAUUACUUCAAUAAAUUUGGAAGUAAAGUGAAAGUGGUAGGUAAAUUGACCUUGAAGAGGCGUAGAAUAGAAUGAUGUUGGAUUUUACUCUGGGAGAUUGGAAGAUGAUACAAGCUACGAAGUGUGAGAAGGAAACUAGUCAUGCCCCAAAAUGGUUAUUUAAUUGCAAUGGAUUUACAAAAGUUAAACCUCAAAAUUCUAAGUUCAUAAAUUCCCUAAACCUCACUCCUCAGUCCCCCAUGGAUGAGAGAUGAAGUGCACAGAGAUCAAUUGAAUCGCCCAUUCGUCCUAAAUAAGAUCAGUAUCAUAUGACUGAGUACUGGACAAUGAAAUCUUGGCAAAAAUGAUGUACACGCAUGCCAGGGUUCAUCUUAGAGGCUACAUAAAAGCUGGUGGUACCACAAAUGGAAACCAUCUUAUCCUUGACUGCAAGGGGCUGAAACUCCCUGUAAUCUACCUUGUAACAUGAG